AAACAACAACAGUGCAAUCAUUGCAUUUAAUCAGAAGCCUCAUCAGGGUGGGAUGAAGGCACUAAAUGUGGCUGGGAAUCAUCGAGAAUGAGGCAACGAUCCACUCAAUUGUGGAGCUGCAUAUGAGCAAGUGGUACUCAUACUGAGGUCAGUGGGCUGAGGCUCUUUGCUUGGUUGCUAGGCAACAAGGGACCUGCUAUUCUGUGGCCCAUCGAUAUCAAUAUGAAGCAUUAACCAAACCACCCUCCUGGUUCCACUUAUAUGAUGGCUGCAUGGAAAUGCUGGGUAACAGAAGAGGAUUAUGUAAUGUGGAAAAAGUGAAAGUUGGCACUGCACAGCAAGGCUUCAUCUUUGAAGCAGGAGUGAUUCAAUAGGAAAGAUCAUCUGCUGGUUGUGGUUCCUGCUUAAAUUAAAGAUGCUGGAGGAAGCAUGAGAAGUGGACCCAUGCCAAGUCUCUGUACCACAAGAUGAUUGGAACACCUGGAGUAUAAGUGGAGUAAAGAGUACAGAAGAAAUGCCUCUGGCGGAAAGUACGAGCUUCCCAUAAUGAUCUACAAUGAGUUUGGUAGAACUUCUUCCCUUUUGUCCAAAUGCCUUGGACCUGCUUUAAUAUGCUGCUAAGUGUUCCUUUAUUUCAUUGUGAGGGUAGAUGAUGUGCCUUUGCACGUCCGUGUGCACACUCAGCAUCCUCCUAAGUGCCUGGUGCCCAGUGGGUGCUCAAUACAUGCUUGUUGAAUAAAAGAAUAUGACAAGUCCAAAAUGUAUUUUCCAACUUACUUUCUG
rnacentral:lncRNA from 10 species